ACACACGGUGUUCCAUGUCUCUAUGCUCCGAAACUAUACUCCAAAUCUGACACAUGUAGUGGAUUAAGGUGAGUUGAUUGUUGAUGCGGAUGGGACCUUCGAGGAAGGACCGGUGCGUAUCUUGGAUAGCCAGGAGCAAUUUUUGCAAGAAAUGACUGUGAGGCUAAUAAAGGUGCUAUAGCAGCACCGAGGGGUGGAGGAGGCGAUAUGGGAGCGUGGGGACACAAUAUGUACAAAUUAUCCAUUUCUGUUCAAGGAUGGAGGUACAUUUCUAAAAUUUUAAGUGAAAUAUAAAUGUUGCAUAUGCACGCGGUUAAGUUUGUAUGUGUGUGUAAAUUUCGAGGACGAAAUUCUUUUGAGGAAGAAUGUAAAACUCGGGUAAAUUUGAACUUUUCAUAAAAAAAACAAAAUGGUAAUUUAUCGCUACGGUACGGGUUAAAAACUUAAAUUUUUUUAAAACUCGGAUGACAAAAUAGACCUCACCGUUAGAUUCAUCUAGCGAAAUUUAGCUACCCUGUCAAAUUUCAUUAAAUUCUGAGAUAGUCGAAUUUUUCACGUUUUAUAAGGUGAUCGAGUCNCUACUUGGUCCGUGUUUCAAGACGGAUCAAACGGGGAACCCAUAGGCCGAUGCUUGGAUCACGCAGAUGCCUAAGCACGUCGAUGGCGCGCACUGCCAAACACAAUCGAGGUGACGGUGUCUCCAUAGGCAUACAAUAGCUCGAGCUUUAGCCACCUCCCCAAUUCGCAUCAGUUCGCAGCCCGAGUCGAUCGACAGACCAGCUCAUCACCGUUCCAUAUCUAACCAGGUAGCAUUGUCGGCCCCCUAUCUGCUUUCCUCCCAACAAUUUCAAACACUCUUUGACUCUUUUUUAAAGUCCUUUUCAUAUUUCCCUUGUGGUAAUUGUUUGUUAUAGGUCUCUCGCCCAUAUUUAGCCUUGGACGAAAUUUACCGCCCAACUGUGCACUAACCUAGAACCCACAAAGAGUAUUGGUUGAUUAAGACAGUAGGACGGUGGUCAUGGAAGUCGAAAUCCGCUAAAGAGUGUGAAACAACUCACCUACCAAAUCAACUAGCCCAGAAAAAUGGAUGGUGCUGAAGCGCGCAACCUAUACCCAGCCAUUGGGCCAAGUGCCAGGCCCCCGAUGAGUAGGAGAGUGUGGCGGUCACUACAAAACCUUGGGCACAAGUCUAGGCGGAGCAUCCGUCGGUGUGGAUCUUGGUGGUAGUAGCAAAUAUUCAAAUGAGAACGUUGAAGGCCAAAGAGUGGAAAGGUUCCAUGUGAACAACACUUACACAUGGGUUAGUCAAUCCUAAGGGUCAGGGGAAGCCUGACAGAUAGCGCAUUUCGCACGUGCUCCGAAAAGGAAUUAGGUUAAAAUUCUUGAACCAGGACAUGGCGGCUGACGACAACAUUAGGGAGUCCAGAGACACCGCUGGGGGCCUCGGUAAGAGUUAUCUUUUCUAUUUAACAGCCUGCCCACCCUGGAAUCGGCUCAGCCGGAGGUAGGGUCGAGCGGUUGGAAAAGCACCGCAUGUUGCGUAGUGUUCGAUGCGCCCCCAGCGACCCUUGAAAAUAUGGAGGACCGAGUGCCUACCACGCUCGGUCGUACUCAUAAUCGCAUCAGGUCUCCAAGGUGAACAGCCUCUGAUCGAUGGAACAAUGUAGGCAAGGAAAGUCGAUAACAUGGAUCCGUAACCUUUGAAAAAGGAUUGGCUCUGAGGGUUGGGCACGGGGGUCCCAGUCCCGAACCCAUCAGCUGUCGAUGGACUGCUCGAACUACUUCAACGACGAGAGCGGGUCACUGCGUGUCGACCGGGGGACAGAUUGGGAACGGCUCCGCGAGGGCCUUCCUCAAGCGUCGAAUAAUCGACUCAGAACUGGUGCAAAGAAGGAGAAUCUGACUGUUUAAUUAAAACAAAGCAUUGUGAUGGUCCCUACGAAUGCUCACNUUCCUCAAGCGUCGAAUAAUCGACUCAGAACUGGUGCAAAGAAGGAGAAUCUGACUGUUUAAUUAAAACAAAGCAUUGUGAUGGUCCCUACGAAUGCUCACGCAAUGUGAUUUCUGCCCAGUGCUCUAAAUGUUAAAGUGAAGAAAUUCAACCAAGCGCGGGUAAAUAACGGGAGUAACUAUGAGUCUCUUAAGAGAGUCAAAUGUCUUGUCAUCUAAUUAGUGAUGUGCAUGAAUGGAUUAACGAGAUUCCCAUUGUCCCUGUCUACUAUCCCGCAAAACCACAGCCAAGGGAACGUGCUUGGCAGAAUCAACGAGGAAAGAAAAACCUAUUGAGCUUGACUCUAGUCCGACUUCGUGAAAUAACUUGAGAGAUGUAGGAUAAGUGGGAGCUAAAAACUGCAAAAGUGAAAUACCACUAUUUUUAAUGUUAUUUUACUUAUUCUGUGAAUCAGAGGUGGGGCACUGCCCCUUCUUUUGAACCCAAGGCUCGUCUCGACGAGUGGAUCCAAGUGAAAGACAUUGUCAGGUGGGGAGUUUGGAUGGGACGGCACAUCUGUUAAAAGAUAACACAAGUGUCCUAAGAUGAGCUCAACGAGAAUAGAAAUCUCGUGUGAAAUAGAAAGGUAAAAGCUCGUUUGAUUCUGAUUUUCAAUUCGAAUACGAACCAUGAAAGCGUAGCCUAAUGAUCCUUUAGACCUUUGAAGCUAGUGUCAAAAAAGUUAUCAUAGGGAUAACUGGCUUGUGGCAUCGAAGCAUUCACAGCGACGUUGUUUUUUGAUCCUUUGAUGUUGGCUCUUCCUAUCAUUGUGAAUCAAAAUUCAGCAGAAUUCACCAAGUGUUGGAUUGUUCACCCACCAAUAGGGAACGUGAGCUGGGUUUAGACCGUCAUGAGAUAUGUUAGUUUUACCCUACUAAUGAAAGUGUCACAAUAGUAAUUUAACCUAGUACGAGAAGAACUGUUGAUUCGCAUAAUUAAUCAUCGCGUUUGGUUGAAAAACCAGUGGCGUGAAGCCAAUGUACGUUAGAUUAUGACUGAAAGCCUCUAAGUCAGAAUUUGGGCUAGAUGCGAUGUAUGCGCCCGCCACCUGUUUGCCAACCAGCAGUAGAGGCCGUUUGGCCCCCAAAGGCGCGUGUCUUUAGCCAAGUCCACGUGACAAACUAGUUGCGUAGAUCGUCUUGAAGUACAAUUUUCAUUGAGCGGCGGAUAGAAUCAUUUGCAGACGACUUAAAUACGCGACAGAGUAUUGUAAGAGCUAGCUUAAAUAGGUAGUUUUUAAAGGUUUUGGUGUAAAUAAGUCAAGUAUGUUUGGAUAUUGACUUUGCUACCACAUUUAUGCAACUGCUUUUUGGACUCAAAAAGGCUUAUGCAGGCUGAUUCAAGUAGCUAAUUUUAUAAGCUUUUCUUUUUACUUUUUGAAGUUUUAUCACGAGUCUCACAUGACUUUUUAGUUUAUUAUAUUCAUAAAAUAUUACUAAUGACCUAAAAAAAUUUAAAAUUCAUAUUGUGGGAACUAUGAUGCAUAAUUUAUACAUACAUAUAAUUAUUUUUUUAUUUUGAUUUAAAAAAGCCAACAAAAGUUAAAAAAUUACUCCAAAUAGACUUUUUCAACUUUUCAGCUUUUUAAAGAACACUCCAAAUGGUUUUGGAAAAUUUUUUAANAAAGUUAAAAAGUUACUCCAAAUAGACUUUUUCAACUUUUCAGCUUUUUAAAGAACACUCCAAAUGGUUUUGGAAAUUUUUUUUAAUUUUUAAUUUGUUGCAAAGUUUUUCAAACCGUAAUUUGUCAAUUAAAAAAGUCAUCUCCAAAUAGGUCCAUUAUAUUGGGGAGCAAGAGGAGGCUAAUUAACCCUUGUUGUAUAGUAUUGAGUAUAUUGAGGAUUUUUAAUAAAUAUAUGGUACAUGAAUUUUAUCAAGAUUUGAGAUAUUAGAUUUACUCAAACUAAGUUUUUUAGUAAGACCAAAUUUAGGGAUAUUAAUCAGUACCUAUAAAUAAAUUGUAACUGUAUUAAGAUUAUAAUAUAAUUAAACAACUGUUCUUGUAGACUUGUGAAGAAUUCCAACUGAACCGUGCAAUUCUCGUAUUUAUUAUUUUUUAUUAUUCUCUUUUUUUUUCUUGAUUAUUCACUGCACUACAAGUUCACAAUAGAUUCCAUUUAUAACUCGUGGAUACUACAACAUCUCAGGAGAUAAUAGGAUUAUUGAUCCAAUAUAUAUAAGUAGAUCCCUUACUAAUACACAGAGGAUGAUUUGCAUUAAGAAAGACUGAAAGAGUACAUUAAAAAAUAUCCAAAUCCUUUUUUUCAUGCUUUGAGAAGAUAAGCAUCCACCUCCUUACAACCAUUUAAUAGAAAGUCAAGAUUAGAGUGUGGAGUUGGGACAUCCUCACUUGCUUUCUCAUAUUCCAGAGUCCAUUUUGCUAAGUUCAUACCAUCCUUUGAAAUAACCUCAAGUGUGGCUUUGAAGCUCUUGAAAUACUUUGUAACCUCUCCACCAAUGAGCCCAAAUGUGAUUGACUUGUUUUUCUCAUCUGCAGCCUCUAUUUUGUCCUUUGCUAUAACAGUGGUACCUAUGUUUAUUUUGAUCAAAAGCAAGCAAUGGUUGU